UGCAAGGCGUUUUGUUGCAACAGAAGCUGAGCAAGCUUUUGCUCUCUGAACCAGUGUAAGGUGUGGGAAACUUUACUUCGCGAACAGACAGGGGAAAACGCUAGCCUGUUUAGCCGGAAUAGCUGAAGGGUUCUCAAUGAUGGAAGCGCCAUUCAUCAAGAGCUUCCGGAAACUCUCUUUUCACCUCAGUCCCAGCACCCAGCCCCACAAAGGCUUCUCACACGCCUUGUGAAGCUGGCCCCCCUCUCCCUCCCUCCCCGGAUGACCUUGAACUUCUGAACUUUCUGUCACUGUCUCCUUCGUGCUGGGAUUAAGGAAAUGUGCCUCCAGUGCCUGGUUUGUAUGCAGUGACGAGGAUCAAGUCAUGACUCUGCAAGCACCUUGACAACAGCCCUGCAACCUAGGCCUCGAGUGUUGAUUCUCAGCCACUUUACUAUCUUAAUUCUCUUGCCUGCUGUGCACAAUCUUGUCGUACAACUCAGCAGUCCAAUGUGCUUUAUGUCCGAUCGUUAUUCUUAGGUAUGCACAAUUUACAUCCCUAAAAUUAUAUUUACUCAUUUCCAUGUCAAACAUGAGCUUGAUAAAGACUGAUUGCAGUGGUUGUCUAAAGCCUUUAACCUGUGGCUCGGAUGUGGGUUAUGGUCACACCUAUAGAUGGUUCCUGCCAUUCAUUUCCAAGUUUAGAAAUUGGUAUUUGUGUGUGUGUGUGUGAAAGAGAGAGAGAGAGAGACUGCUGUUUUAAUACAAAGAACAAGAGAUUGCAUUUUAUGUAUGUAUAAUGAGACAUUCGGAUGUCCAAUGCUGAAGUCCUAGAGAACCACAGUUUCACACAAAGCAAAGCGGAUUCCCAUACUAAAACUAAUCUAAGAAAGUGUAAGAAUACUGUACAGAAGAAAGGGCAGAGAACUGACGAGUGACACACGCUAGCUCCAAUUAACUCUCUUUGGUGACCUACCCAUCGUCUUUAGAUCAACUCUCUGAGUGAGUUAGCCAUCGCCAGCAAAGCACAGGCACUAAAAUCUACUGCAGGGCUAUUGUGAGAUAAAUGGCGUGAUGGUGGAGGACAGCCCCAAACAACAAGCUGGGCUGAGGACCACCAGGGACCAUCACAGACGCUCUCGGCUCCUCCUUACGCUCAGCUCUGCCAAGUCCUCUCCCAAAAGUGUUUGUGCCGUGCAAAUGCAUCUCUGCAGAAAUGUCUGUUGCCUCUGAUCUCUUCUAUGACUUUUUGUUUGUUUGUUUGCUUGUUUGUCUGUUUAGCCUUGGCUGUCCUGGAACUCACUCUGUAGACCAGGCUGGCCUCAGACUCACACAGAUCUUCCUGCCUCUGCCUCCCGAGUGCUGGGAUUAAAGGCGUGUGCCACCCAGGCCCAGCUGCUUCUAUGACUCUUAAACCUAA